UUGCUGUGGUGGAUUAGUGGCGAACGGGUGAGUAACACGUGAGUAACCUGCCCUUCACUCUGGGAUAAGCCUUGGAAACGAGGUCUAAUACUGGAUAUUCAUUCAUGAUCGCAUGGUUGUGGGUGGAAAGAUUUUUUGGUGGGGGAUGGACUCGCGGCCUAUCAGCUUGUUGGUGAGGUAGUGGCUUACCAAGGCUUUGACGGGUAGCCGGCCUGAGAGGGUGACCGGCCACACUGGGACUGAGACACGGCCCAGACUCCUACGGGAGGCAGCAGUGGGGAAUAUUGCACAAUGGGCGAAAGCCUGAUGCAGCGACGCCGCGUGAGGGAUGACGGCCUUCGGGUUGUAAACCUCUUUCACCAGGGACGAAGCGGAAGUGACGGUACCUGGAGAAGAAGCACCGGCUAACUACGUGCCAGCAGCCGCGGUAAUACGUAGGGUGCGAGCGUUGUCCGGAAUUAUUGGGCGUAAAGAGCUUGUAGGCGGUUUGUCGCGUCUGCUGUGAAAGACCGGGGCUUAACUCCGGUUCUGCAGUGGGUACGGGCAGGCUAGAGUAUGGUAGGGGAGACUGGAAUUCCUGGUGUAGCGGUGAAAUGCGCAGAUAUCAGGAGGAACACCGAUGGCGAAGGCAGGUCUCUGGGCCAUUACUG
rnacentral:rRNA from 1 species